AUUGAACGCUGGCGGCAGGCUUAACACAUGCAAGUCGAGCGGAGUGAUGGUGCUUGCACUAUCACUUAGCGGCGGACGGGUGAGUAAUGCUUAGGAAUCCGCCUAUUAGUGGGGGACAACAUCUCGAAAGGGAUGCUAAUACCGCAUACGUCCUACGGGAGAAAGCAGGGGAUCACUUGUGACCUUGCGCUAAUAGAUGAGCCUAAGUCGGAUUAGCUAGUUGGUGGGGUAAAGGCCUACCAAGGCGACGAUCUGUAGCGGGUCUGAGAGGAUGAUCCGCCACACUGGGACUGAGACACGGCCCAGACUCCUACGGGAGGCAGCAGUGGGGAAUAUUGGACAAUGGGGGGAACCCUGAUCCAGCCAUGCCGCGUAUGUGAAGAAGGCCUUAUGGUUGUAAAGCACUUUAAGCGAGGAGGAGGCUCUUUUGGUUAAUACCCAAGAUGAGUGGACGUUACUCGCAGAAUAAGCACCGGCUAACUCUGUGCCAGCCGCCGCCGUAA
rnacentral:rRNA from 1 species